AGAGAUCAGUAUCAUUAUUAAGAAAUGAAUGUCACACCACUCACCAAUAUAUUUCGUGAUCCACAAACAAAUGUAAUAACAUUCGCAAAUAUAAUUCAUACAUUUCAUGAUCCACAAACAAAUGUAACAACAUUCACAAAUAUAAUUCAUGAUGCACAAAUGAAUGUAACCCCAUUCACAAAUGCCAGCGCAGUUCUAUUAAUUUGCAAACCGGUCUACAUAUAUUCGCAAGCCCUAUACAUAUUUGUGACUUCCAUUGUAUUUGUGUGUGGAUUUUUGAGACUGUCCUGACGGUAUUUGACACACAAAUGUGCUCAGCCAAUCACAUCAGCCGGCGUUCGAGCGUAAGGUUGAAGACAUUGCGCUUCUAUUACGCAGAGCAGGCUACUAGUGCGAAGCCACCAUAGAUCUGUAUAAAUAACUGGAAGUAGAGCCAUUACUGAAGUGCUCCCUGACGUAAACUCGGAAGCGUAUGAAGUUACUGACUUUCACAUCAUCUUUGUACAAAUAUGUCUGGAUCUGGACUAACGUGUGCCGUAAUCGGAUGUAACAAUAACAGCAGAAAGCUAAAAAUGAGGAAAAAGAGCGUAUGUGCGCUUCAUAGUCCACAGUUUAAAGAGGAUUGUCCAUGUUGCGGUGGUAGAUGGACACUCCCAACUGAGAUCGCUCCCGGACGUGCAGUCCCAGGUGUUUCUAUCAGUCCCGGACGUGUAGUCCCACCCGAUUAUAUUUCACGUAUUAUCAUACACUGCCACAUACAAGCAAUUUAGGGUUAGGGUUAGGUUUAGGGUCAAGGUUAGGGUUAGGGUUAGGGUUAGAAACAAAAAACUAACAUCAAAAAGAUAACUAGCUCCGUUGUAUGGCGGUGGACCGAUAGUCUGGCUAGUGGGAGCGAGCCGACAGGGGAGCGUCCUGCGUUGGGAGCGUCAAUCAGGGAAUCUCCAUGUUGUGUGCCCUACGGUGUACACCGCUUCCCCGGCCGUGCUGAGGAUGAAGACAUUCGCAAGAUGUGGAUUAAAAACGUACACCGAAAGGACUUUGCCCCCAAACAAGUAUUCAAGGGUGUGUGGAGUACACUUCCCUGACGGCAGACCAACGCAGGAACACCCAUAUCCCAUAAUAUGGGAUAUGAAUAUAGUAAAGCACCGUCAUGUGGAAGACCACCCCAAAGAGGAGAUGUCUCCAGCCCCCAACAGAGAGACCAUGUGAUGAGCCUCCUGUGACAGAUUCUGACACCGAAGUAGGGCAUAGCUUGGAGGAUAGUCUGUCUCCACACCAAUGUGAUGUUGGCACUCAGUGGCCAGAGCGUAGUGAUCAUGAUUGUUGUUCGAUGAAGUCAACAAAAGAUGCAAGCACACAAACCGAUCCUACACCAUCACUGUCAGAUCAUGACAUGGAUGAUAAAGUGUCAAAACUUUACACUGGACUAGACAUCAUCAGCUUUUGGCAACUUUUGAACACCAUCAUUGGCUUUCUUCCACAGUCGAAGACGUUCAAAUUACCAGUCCAUGAACAGCUAAGUGCUGGUCCUAAUGAGGCUUCGGCUUGGCUACAGCCUGUGAUAUGUCCGCAAUGUGGAGAGCAACACUUGCCAAUUUCACAAGGGAAAAUCUUAUUUUUUGGCUCCCUCGAGACACUCUGAAUAGAGUAAGACCCUCAAGUUUUCUUGAACACUAUCCCAAUGCAACAUGCAUCAUAGAUUGCACUGAAAUAUUUGUCCAAAGACCAAAGAACUUGGGGAAAAGAGCAAAAACAUACAGCAACUAUAAGCAUCACAACACCUACAAAGUCCUCUAUUGCAUAGCCCCCAAUGGUUUUGUGAUGUAUGUGUCAAAACUGUUUGGUGGCAGAGCUAGUGACACUUUUAUCUUAAACUGUGGAUUUCUGGUGAUCAGAUUUUGACAGACCGGGGAUUCACAAUUGGAGAUGUUCUUCCUCCAGGAGUGACAUUGGCUAUUCCAGCAUUUACACGUGGAUGUACACAACUAUCAGAACAUGAAGUCACAGGAACCCGCCGUCUCGCCAAUGUCCGAAUUCAUGUUGAACGUGCAAUAAGAAGGUUAAAAUGCUUCAAAAUUUUGAGUAAUGUAAUUCCAGGUUGAUUAAAACAUGUUGAUGACAUUUUGACUAUUUGUGCAGGCCUGUGUAACCUUCUUGAAAUCUUACAAACAUGUUUGGCAUACACUACACUUGUCCCUGUCUGUAGGCCUACAUGUCAGCAUCAUCUUCCAACUUGUCAGCGAUACUAUGCCCAAGAUAUUUUGUACUGCUUGACACACAGUGAUUGCCCUGACAGGUAAAACGUUGGAAAGACUUAAGAUCCUGAACAUAACACUUUUUUGCAUUGUACUGUAGGCCUACAUCAAACUCAACCCCAUACUCAGAGCACACAUUCAGAAGUUGCUGAAACUCAACAGCGCCGGGGGACAUGGGCCUAAUAGCCAGAUCAUCAAAUGGUUGAAAACAGUGCAUGUGUUUUAUUGUCUGUGUCUAAAUCUCGUCAUACAUCCAGUGCGUUUUGUUUUUUUUAACAGACGUGUUUUCACAAUGACACUCUGAGAAUUUACUUUUGAACAAAGUGUCUUGUGUAUAAAAUGGUGUGCAGACA